ACGGGUGUUGGGGAAGGGGAAAAGGGGUCAGUGUCUGUCAGACCCGGAGGCAGAACCACCCCCAGUUGAGACUCCAAAGCAGCCAGGUCAGGGGGAAGGAGAAUGUUGUUAAAACAGAGGCUGGCUGAAAAGGCAGCCAAAAGCCUGUGAGUGUGCUGGUAGGAUUCACUGCUUGAGCCAGGCUGGUCCCUCACUGGUGCUGGGUGUUCACUGGGCAACAGCACGAGUGGCUCAGAGACACUGGUGUCAUCUGCACAAAGCAGGAACAGGAGGGGGGAAGCAGGGGGUAACUGUUCCCUUUGAUACCAUCGGAAUGGGGAGGUCUGAACGCUUGCACUGUCUUCCUGAGUGGAUCAAUGAAACUGAGAUCCUUGUUAAUGUGGAAAGUUCUGGUUUUGCUAAGAAUCAGAUCAAUCAGUACUAAGAUCAGAUCAAUCAGUAGGUGAGAACUGCCUGAAGAUUAAAGUGAGGUUUAUUCUGUGGCUCUGUUUGUAUCCACACACUACAGCAGUGAUUCCCACUCAGAUCCCCUUCAACUAAUGCUUCAAGCUCAAGACAGAGACAUGUGAAAGUUGUCCAGCAAAAGAACCCCUGAUGUUCCUAAAAACUCCCAGCAGGAAUCCUUUCAGGGUGUUUUAUCAACAGCAGAAAGGGGAUUUCUCUCAACCACAGUUUCUAAGCACAGCUCAUGAUUAAGCUGUGAAUCUUUGGGGCUG